rnacentral:rRNA from 1 species
UACCAGCUUCUCCGAGUGGUAGGGAUGAUUAUUGGGCUCAAAGCGUCCGUAGCCGGCUUAGCAAGUCUCCUGUUAAAUUCAGCGACCUAAUCGUUGAGCCGCGGGAGAUACUACUAGGCUAGGAGGCGGGAGAGGUCAACGGUACUUCCGGGGUAGGGGUGAAAUCCUAUAAUCCCGGGAGGACCACCAGUGGCGAAGGCUGUUGACUAGAACGCGCUCGACGGUGAGGGACGAAAGCUGGGGGAGCGAACCGGAUUAGAUACCCGGGUAGUCCCAGCUGUAAACGAUGCGAGCUAGGUGUGUGGGCGGCCACGUGCCGCUCUAGUGCCGCAAGGAAGCUGUUAAGCCUGCCGCCUGGGGAGUACGGCCGCAAGGCUGAAACUUAAGGAAUUGGCGGGGAGCACCACAAGGGGUGAAGCUUGCGGUUU